AAUAAAAUAAGAUGACAAAAGAAGAGUAAUUCAACAACCAUAAGCAUCAUGAGGGAUCAUGUCAUCAAACAAUGCAUUUUAUGAGUUGUAAGAAACCUAUAGAAAGGGGAUUCUAUAUAUUUAAAGGCAAAAAAGUUAGAAGAAAUACAAAGGAAACAAGCUUUUAUCUAGAAAAUACAUAUAUUUAUGAACAAUAUUUUCCAUUGUCUUCAUCUGUUUCUUGCCAACCUUUUAGGUCUUCACUACCAUCAAAGAACUCUUUCAUUCUUCCUAUGUGCUUUAUAGUCACUUGGUUGGG
rnacentral:lncRNA from 1 species